CCAGAAGGGUGAGGAAGAAAAGGAGUUGAGAUCUUCAUCUCUGAGGAUUGCAGGAAAUUAUGGUGUCUGUGGAGUAGUCAUCUGCCAUCCUUUUCAAGGCAAAUGGCUUUAACUUUGAAGCUCAGGUGUGAUCCGCCUGGUGACCUGGCCACCCACUUGUGGACCCAAUUCACAGCAGAAAGCCUGAACAUCCAGACAUCAACCUUCCUCCAAAUGUCUCCUGCCAUCAUAAAUGCCAAGCUCUGCAUAUGAGGAAGAGAGACAGAGAGAGGGCGAGACUUUACAUUUCAGAGUAAGAGGAUUCAUUUGGCAAGUCACAGAAAGAAAAAGAAAACACUGGAACUGAACAGACUGGUCCCAAGGCUAAGAGGGAAAGCCUAUGUAUGAAAGACUGUGAACAACCUGCAAUAUCGAACUGGGGAUUUGCACAUCAGUGGAGGCCGUUAGCCUGAAUCUGCAACAAGUUGAGAGUGCCCCCCACCCCCCGAUCUCACAAGAUGAGGAUCCACAUGUAUCAUUUCCAGACAUAUGAAGAACUGUAGCCACCCAUUCCAUAAGCAUGACAGAGUUAUUAUAUAUGUAAUCAAACUGCAGAAUGUUAUUGCCUUUUGGUAGGAUACUGUCAAAGCAUCUAAAAUUAUAUUACUGCUUUAUUCCCUGUGAGAAGCUUCUAACUGAAAUCUAUUACUUACUAACACUCUUGACAAUCCCCAUUUUAUUAUGACCAGCUCUAGUUAGCUUGAAACAGUGUGUGUAUUACUGUCAACAGA